rnacentral:SRP_RNA from 1 species
GCCGGGUGUGGUGUCGCACACCUGUAAUCCCAGCUUAUCCAGAGGCUGAGGCAGGAGAAUCACUUGAACCCGGGAGGUGGAGGUUGCAGUGAGUCAAGAUGGUACCACUGCACUCCAUCCUGGGUGACAGAGUGAAACCCUGUCUCCA